rnacentral:lncRNA from 1 species
GGUAAUUCCCAACAAAGGAACAGGUCUAGUAAGCCCACACACGAACCGCGCUUCUCGAACUCGGAGCCAUUUGGCGUGCCAUUGGAAAUCUUCGGGUCCAGGGUUGGUUAUGAAAGCUAACCACUCAGAAUAAUGAUAAUCGGGGGCAAAUGCCUUCCUAUCUUUAAACUUCAGGAUAGGGUGGCUAGAGUCAGAGAUGUCGUUCACAGUCAUUAAGCUACCAAACCCUUUAACGUGAGAGAAAAACCAAAUUUGCAAGAGUUCAGGAGGAGCAUGGAAAAUUUUGUUUUUG